rnacentral:rRNA from 1 species
AUUGAACGCUGGCGGCAUGCCUUACACAUGCAAGUCGAACGGUAACAGGUCUUCGGAUGCUGACGAGUGGCGAACGGGUGAGUAAUACAUCGGAACGUGCCCGAUCGUGGGGGAUAACGAAGCGAAAGCUUUGCUAAUACCGCAUACGAUCUACGGAUAAAAGCAGGGGACCGCAAGGCCUUGCGCGAACGGAGCGGCCGAUGGCAGAUUAGGUAGUUGGUGGGAUAAAAGCUUACCAAGCCGACGAUCUGUAGCUGGUCUGAGAGGACGACCAGCCACACUGGGACUGAGACACGGCCCAGACUCCUACGGGAGGCAGCAGUGGGGAAUUUUGGACAAUGGGCGAAAGCCUGAUCCAGCCAUGCCGCGUGCAGGAUGAAGGCCUUCGGGUUGUAAACUGCUUUUGUACGGAACGAAAAGACUCUGGUUAAUACCUGGGGUCCAUGACGGUACCGUAAGAAUAAGCACCGGCUAACUACGUG